CGCGGGUUGAAGAGGACCAGUCGUAUCCGGAUCACCCAGACAGAUUUGACUCCUGGUCCCAGAAGUGUGUUUCUAUGGGCCCGUUGGCUGUGUCACCGUCAGCAGUUACCAGGGACCGUCCUGCCGUCGCCUCUACCCACCACGGGACCACCACCCUCUCCGGCUACCCACCACGGGACCACCACCGUCACCGUCAGCAGGAAAGUCCUGGGACCUCCAGGAUGUCCUUGGACCUCCAGGAUGUCCUGGUGCGGGCCCCUUCUCCACAGAUAUAAGAAGCCCCCCCUCUCCACACCAAAGCCCCUUUCAGCAGCUGGCGGUCGUCAGGAACCAGCACGCCUCCACCUCCAGCCCUAUUCCGCAAAAACUCGCCCAGGGAAAUGUGUGUAAACAUUUUAGCAUCCCUAGCUAUCUCGAAAUGGCCAGAAAAGGGGUGUGACCUCCAACAGUACAGUAAAUGUACAUAAGACAGAGGUUAGUUUCUACUCCCCAUUUUUUGUGGGAUGGAGGUGUACAUUAGUGGCUUAAGGUGUGUAGACACAGCUGGCCUGUGGCCACGUUUUUGAAGUCUGGGGUCAAAAGGUCAAAAGGAGCCGGCACCACGCCGCUUAUGAGAUAACAAAAAGUGAAUGUGUAUUUCUCUCGU